GACGAACGCUGGCGGCGUGCUUAACACAUGCAAGUCGAACGGAGAAUUUAUUUCGGUAAAUUCUUAGUGGCGAACGGGUGAGUAACGCGUGGGCAACCUGCCCUUCAGAUGGGGACAACAUCCCGAAAGGGGUGCUAAUACCGAAUACGAUCACGCUGCCGCAUGGCGGUGUGAUGAAAGAUGGCCUCUAUUUAUAAGCUAUCGCUGAAGGAUGGGCCUGCGUCUGAUUAGCUAGUUGGUGGGGUAACGGCCUACCAAGGCGAUGAUCAGUAGCCGGUCUGAGAGGAUGAACGGCCACAUUGGGACUGAGACACGGCCCAAACUCCUACGGGAGGCAGCAGUAGGGAAUAUUCCGCAAUGGACGAAAGUCUGACGGAGCAACGCCGCGUGAGUGAUGAAGGUUUUCGGAUCGUAAAGCUCUGUUGUUUGAGGCGAAUGUGCCUGUUUCGAAUAGGGAUAGGUAAUGACGGUAUUAAACGAGAAAGCCACGGCUAACUACGUGCCAGCAGCCGCCGUAA
rnacentral:rRNA from 1 species